UAAGUAGGCGGAGGAAAUGACACAAACAUGGAUUCACUGGGUAACUGCGAGUGACAUGUGAUUUGCUCACAGCUGAUAUUCUUUGCUGUAUGCUUUGACAUGAGGACUUUGAGUGUGGUGCCAAUGGUGGUGUAAGUGUGAGCCAUCUUGGAAAAGAGAAGAGUGUGCACUUACAAGGGUGAGAAGCCAGUGUGUGCUUACAGAAUCUCCACAUGUGGGUCUCACUUUGAGAAUCAUGCUCUUUGGAAGUGGAGUGUAAAGUGGGCGGUAGACUCUUCUCAAAGCUGAGUACAGAACUGGGACAGACAGGGAAGAAGUACCAUGAGGGAAGUGUGAAAAGGACUUUUGAAAGAGACUUAAAAGAGCCUGUACGUGCUGAAGGAUACGCAUACAGCAUGCUUGCAUGUGAGAUGAUUGCUGUGGGUGUGCGGCUGUCUUUGACUGGAUGACUGUGGACAUGUGCCAUGGACACUUGACCACCUAUUGUGUAUCCUCUUGUGUGUGCCAGCAUGUUGGAGACAGUCAGUGCUUGAGCGCAGUGGUUGCUGUGCAUCUCAAGAUACAUCAGAUGUGCACUCAAAGAUCUGAGCAUGUUGAAAAGCAGGUGCAGAAGGGCCCUCCUGUCUGUAUGACCCG
rnacentral:rRNA from 1 species